rnacentral:rRNA from 3 species
UUAAAUUGAAGAGUUUGAUCAUGGCUCAGAUUGAACGCUGGCGGCAGGCCUAACACAUGCAAGUCGAACGGUAACAGGAAGAAGCUUGCUUCUUUGCUGACGAGUGGCGGACGGGUGAGUAAUGUCUGGGAAACUGCCUGAUGGAGGGGGAUAACUACUGGAAACGGUAGCUAAUACCGCAUAACGUCGCAAGACCAAAGAGGGGUACCUUCGGGCCUCUUGCCAUCGGAUGUGCCCAGAUGGGAUUAGCUAGUAGGUGGGGUAACGGCUCACCUAGGCGACGAUCCCUAGCUGGUCUGAGAGGAUGACCAGCCACACUGGAACUGAGACACGGUCCAGACUCCUACGGGAGGCAGCAGUGGGGAAUAUUGCACAAUGGGCGCAAGCCUGAUGCAGCCAUGCCGCGUGUAUGAAGAAGGCCUUCGGGUUGUAAAGUACUUUCAGCGGGGAGGAAGGGAGUAAAGUUAAUACCUUUGCUCAUUGACGUUACCCGCAGAAGAAGCACCGGCUAACUCCGUGCCAGCAGCCGCGGUAAUACGGAGGGUGCAAGCGUUAAUCGGAAUUACUGGGCGUAAAGCGCACGCAGGCGGUUUGUUAAGUCAGAUGUGAAAUCCCCGGGCUCAACCUGGGAACUGCAUCUGAUACUGGCAAGCUUGAGUCUCGUAGAGGGGGGUAGAAUUCCAGGUGUAGCGGUGAAAUGCGUAGAGAUCUGGAGGAAUACCGGUGGCGAAGGCGGCCCCCUGGACGAAGACUGACGCUCAGGUGCGAAAGCGUGGGGAGCAAACAGGAUUAGAUACCCUGGUAGUCCACGCCGUAAACGAUGUCGACUUGGAGGUUGUGCCCUUGAGGCGUGGCUUCCGGAGCUAACGCGUUAAGUCGACCGCCUGGGGAGUACGGCCGCAAGGUUAAAACUCAAAUGAAUUGACGGGGGCCCGCACAAGCGGUGGAGCAUGUGGUUUAAUUCGAUGCAACGCGAAGAACCUUACCUGGUCUUGACAUCCACGGAAGUUUUCAGAGAUGAGAAUGUGCCUUCGGGAACCGUGAGACAGGUGCUGCAUGGCUGUCGUCAGCUCGUGUUGUGAAAUGUUGGGUUAAGUCCCGCAACGAGCGCAACCCUUAUCCUUUGUUGCCAGCGGUCCGGCCGGGAACUCAAAGGAGACUGCCAGUGAUAAACUGGAGGAAGGUGGGGAUGACGUCAAGUCAUCAUGGCCCUUACGACCAGGGCUACACACGUGCUACAAUGGCGCAUACAAAGAGAAGCGACCUCGCGAGAGCAAGCGGACCUCAUAAAGUGCGUCGUAGUCCGGAUUGGAGUCUGCAACUCGACUCCAUGAAGUCGGAAUCGCUAGUAAUCGUGGAUCAGAAUGCCACGGUGAAUACGUUCCCGGGCCUUGUACACACCGCCCGUCACACCAUGGGAGUGGGUUGCAAAAGAAGUAGGUAGCUUAACCUUCGGGAGGGCGCUUACCACUUUGUGAUUCAUGACUGGGGUGAAGUCGUAACAAGGUAACCGUAGGGGAACCUGCGGUUGGAUCACCUCCUUACCUUAAAGAAGC